GCAACGCGAAGAACCUUACCAGGCCUUGACAUGCAGAGAACUUUCCAGAGAUGGAUUGGUGCCUUCGGGAACUCUGACACAGGUGCUGCAUGGCUGUCGUCAGCUCGUGUCGUGAGAUGUUGGGUUAAGUCCCGUAACGAGCGCAACCUUGUCCUUAGUUACCAGCACGUUAUGGUGGGCACUCUAAGGAGACUGCCGGUGACAAACCGGGGGAAGGUGGGGGAUGACGUCAAGUCAUCAUGGCCCUUACGGCCUGGGCUACACACGUGCUACAAUGGUCGGUACAAAGGGUUGCCAAGCCGCGAGGUGGAGCUAAUCCCAUAAAACCGAUCGUAGUCCGGAUCGCAGUCUGCAACUCGACUGCGUGAAGUCGGAAUCGCUAGUAAUCGUGAAUCAGAAUGUCACGGUGAAUACGUUCCCGGGCCUU
rnacentral:rRNA from 1 species